AUUAAGGCCCGCCCCCAUCACCGGGAGGGGCAGGUUGAGGUGCUGCAGGUUGAGGGGGAGGGGUUCCCAGGUUCCCCUGUCUGCCUCGGUUCCACACCCCCUUUGACCUUUGAUCUGCAUGGUGAUUGGACGCUGACUGGCCGCCAGGAUUCGCAGAGCAUCCCGCUGGCUCAGGACAAACUGGAUUUUGUCUGAAAAUAGACAAAGAAUUACUGUUACAAAAACCAGGAUCAACUGAUAUACAAUUAGCAACUUUCCGGGAGAGAUGGACUGAAUAACUAGUGGAAGGCUUUAAUCCAGCCAUGCAUUGUGGG